AAUAUUAGACAAUGGGCGAAAGCUUGAUCCAGCCCUGCCGCGUGUGUGAAGAAGGUCUUCGGAUUUUAAAGCACUUUAAGAUGGGAGGAAGGGCAGUAAGUUAAUACCUAGGUGUUUUGACGUUACCGCAAGAAUAAGCACCGUCUACUCUCUUGCCAGCAGCCGCGGGAAUACGAAGGGUGCAAGCGUUAAUCGGAAUUACUGGGCGUAAGGCGGGGGUAGGUGGUUUGUUAAGUUGGAAGUGAAAGCCCCGGGCUCAACCUGGGAACUGCUUUCAAAACUGGCAAGCUAGAGUAUGGCAGAGGGUGGUGGAAUUUCCUGUGUAGCGGUGAAAUGCGUAGAUAUAGGAAGGAACACCAGUGGCGAAGGCGACCACCUGGGCGAAUACUGACACUGAGGUGCGAAAGCGUGGGGAGCAAACAG
rnacentral:rRNA from 1 species